UACGUAGGGUGCAAGCGUUGUCCGGAAUUAUUGGGCGUAAAGAGCUCGUAGGCGGUUUGUCGCGUCUGCUGUGAAAACUCGGGGCUUAACCCCGGGCCUGCAGUGGGUACGGGCAGACUAGAGUGCGGUAGGGGAGACUGGAAUUCCCGGUGUAGCGGUGAAAUGCGUAGAUAUCUGGAGGAACACCGGUGGCGAAGGCGGCAUCCUGGACCGGCAUUGACGCUGAGGAGCGAAAGCCAGGGGAGCAAACGGG
rnacentral:rRNA from 1 species